rnacentral:rRNA from 1 species
UACGUAGGGUCCGAGCGUUAAUCGGAAUUAUUGGGCGUAAAGCGUGCGCAGGCGGUUUUGUAAGCCAGAUGUGAAAGCCCCGGGCUCAACCUGGGAACUGCAUUUGGGACUGCAAGGCUGGAGUACGGCAGAGGGAGGUGGAAUUCCACGUGUAGCAGUGAAAUGCGUAGAGAUGUGGAGGAACACCGAUGGCGAAGGCAGCCUCCUGGGCCAGCACUGACGCUCAUGCACGAAAGCGUGGGGAGCAAACAGG